GUGCACGCUGGCGGUAGGCCUAACACCUGCCAGUCGAACGGCAGCACAGUAAGAGCUUGCUCUUACGGGUGGCGAGUGGCGGACGGGUGAGGAAUACAUCGGAAUCUACUUUUUCGUGGGGGAUAACGUAGGGAAACUUACGCUAAUACCGCAUACGACCUACGGGUGAAAGCAGGGGAUCUUCGGACCUUGCGCGAUUGAAUGAGCCGAUGUCGGAUUAGCUAGUUGGCGGGGUAAAGGCCCACCAAGACGACGAUCCGUAGCUGGUCUGAGAGGAUGAUCAGCCACACUGGAACUGAGACACGGUCCAGACUCCUACGGGAGGCAGCAGUGGGGAAUAUUGGACAAUGGGCGCAAGCCUGAUCCAGCCAUACCGCGUGGGUGAAGAAGGCCUUCGGGUUGUAAAGCCCUUUUGUUGGGAAAGAAAAGCAGCAGGUUAAUACCCCGCUGUUCUGACGGUACCCAAAGAAUAAGCACCGGCUAACUUCGUG
rnacentral:rRNA from 1 species